UGGGGAAUAUUGCACAAUGGGCGAAAGCCUGAUGCAGCAACGCCGCGUGAGUGAUGAAGGUCUUCGGAUUGUAAAGCUCUGUCUUUUGGGACGAUAAUGACGGUACCAAAGGAGGAAGCCACGGCUAACUACGUGCCAGCAGCCGCGGUAAUACGUAGGUGGCGAGCGUUGUCCGGAUUUACUGGGCGUAAAGGGUGCGUAGGCGGAUGUUUAAGUGAGAUGUGAAAUACCCGGGCUUAACUUGGGUGCUGCAUUUCAAACUGGAUAUCUAGAGUGCAGGAGAGGAGAAUGGAAUUCCUAGUGUAGCGGUGAAAUGCGUAGAGAUUAGGAAGAACACCAGUGGCGAAGGCGAUUCUCUGGACUGUAACUGACGCUGAGGCACGAAAGCGUGGGUAGCAAACAGGAUUAGAUACCCUGGUAGUCCACGCCGUAAACGAUGAGUACUAGGUGUAGGAGGUAUCGACCCCUUCUGUGCCGCAGUAAA
rnacentral:rRNA from 1 species